AUCGUGUCGGGCUUCCUGUGUGAUUCAAAAUGGCGUCGCAAAAGUUUCUUUAGCAAGACUUCCAUAAAGAAAGACUUAAAUGGGACGUAAAUGGAACGUAAAUAAGAGGUAAAAGAAAAGUGGAACACACUUGAUACCUCAUACAAGGUCCUAACCGGUCUCGAUGGGAUCGCCACCUUAUCGUGGUGAGGCGGUUUGCGUGUCCCAGUGACCCCUAGAGCUAUGCCGGCUGGAGUCAUGUACUCCUGUUAGGGUCACCCAUGCUGGACAGGUCAAAGGGUAGGGGCCAGACUAAGAGUGAUCCCACAAGGCCCUAUCAGUGCUAACCAAAGUUGCCCUACCAGGCUGGGAAUCAUCGUCAGACAGUGCAAAAAGUUACCGAUUAACCUGACAGAGUCUAACCUUGUUGCCAUUUAUCAGUGGGCUGUUCUCUUUCUGAAGGUUGUGGGUAAGGAUAUUAGGUGAUGGCUCUUUGCAGAUUUUAUGGGAGUGCGCUGAUGACGUAAAUGACAGUCACUGUGAAGGUUAGUGUGAGUAGGAGUAUAAAUGAUCAUACCUUACUAUUCAUGGGUGUGUACAGCAGUGAUAAGUUAAUGGUUUACCUACAGCAGCAAAACUAUAUCAACUACAGAAAAAACAAACCAGGAGUUCAGCAUUUGGGAUGGGGCAUAGCCAGGAAUUUCCUAAGGGGACCCAAAUUCAAAAGUGCAUUUUGUUCGAGCCCCUAAAACACCUAACUCAAAAUAGAACAAGCUUAAAAAAUAGCAUGGUAAAUGUAAAUUAUCAUAUAAAUUCUAAAAUGCCACAAUAUGGAAAAAUGUCAUUACCUAAAAUUUACAGUUACCACAACCUGAAAAUAAACCUUAAAAUCAUAUUGUAAAAUCAAAAAUAUCUUAAAGUGUUCUGCUUUAAACAUUGUUUUAUUUCAUGAUGACAUCAUUUUACCUUCAAUGAACCUUACUCACGCGGCAACCAUGUCCUCGUGGAACAAUAGAUUUGCCUCCACACAUAGCCUCGAAUUCACCCAUUCACACAUGUAAUCCUUAAUAAAAUAAAAUACAGGCCCAGUCCCUUAGCAGACUCUGAAUAUAUUAAUACUUAAUUUAAUACAUUAUAGACCCAGUCCCUCAGCAGACUCUGAAUAUAUUAAUACUUAAUUGAAUACAUUAUAGACCCAGUCCCUCAGCAAACUCUGAAUACAUAAAUACUUAUUUGAUUAAAUAAAACCCAGUUGCUCAGCAGCCUCGCAUUCACCCAUGUGAUGAAUAAAUUAAUACUUAAUUGAAUAAAUAAAACCCAGUCCCUCUACAUUAUAGAUUACAUUGCUCAGAUAUAUAAAUCACUGUUGUGCAGUAAAACCUAUGGGUUGGUGGGGUGUGGUUAUUUUGUAAUUCUCCUACUUGCAAUAAUCCUCACAGUACAAAGGCUGCCUUGUCACCAAGGUACUCUCAUGGGUCUGUAGGGAGUUCAGAGUCUGAUAUACUUAUCACCAGUGUUCACCAUUAGAGGAGUCACCUGGUAUGGUUUCAUAAGAUGGCUGUUGUCGGGACAGUAAUUUACUGCUGUGGUCCUGGUCAGCAGGGGGUAGCAACAACCUGUGCUGGUGGGACCUCGAGGAGGCAGUGGUGCUGGUGAGACCUCGAGGAGGUAUUGGUGCUGGCGAGACCUCGAAAAGUUCAAUACAUAGAGAAAUUUUACUUCAAGAAAUAUCUCUCAGCCAAAGGAAGGCUUUUGUCAAAUGCGAAGAACGUGACAUCAAGCAAUGCUACAUGGACAAGAUCAACACUUUGACCAAGCAGCUACACCCAGCCAUUGAAGAAGACUCUGCACAUGACAUCAACUAUGUUGUCAAAACUCUCAAUCGACGAUGGCAAGACACAAGUGAUAAACUGGACCAGUGUAGAGACCUUGGAAGACCUUUAUUCCAUGAGGAUUGUUGGUUGGUGGCGUACAUCAAAAAUAGUUUGACU